rnacentral:rRNA from 1 species
CAGCCGCCACGGGAAUACGAAGGGUGCAAGCGUUAAUCGGAAUUACUGGGCGUAAAGCGUGCGUAGGCGGUUUGUUAAGUCUGUUGUGAAAUCCCCGGGCUCAACCUGGGAAUGGCAAUGGAUACUGGCAAGCUAGAGUGUGUCAGAGGAUGGUGGAAUUCCCGGUGUAGCGGUGAAAUGCGUAGAGAUCUGGAGGAAUACCGGUGGCGAAGGCGGCCCCCUGGACAAAGACAGACGCUCAGGUGCGAAAGCGUGGGGAGCAAACAGGAUUAGAUACCCCGGUAGUCCCUGUCUCUUAUAU